rnacentral:rRNA from 1 species
CAGUCGCCGCGGUAAUACGUAGGGUGCGAGCGUUAAUCGGAAUUACUGGGCGUAAAGCGUGCGCAGGCGGUUGUGUAAGACAGGUGUGAAAUCCCCGGGCUUAACCUGGGAACUGCGCUUGUGACUGCACAGCUAGAGUGCGGCAGAGGGGGAUGGAAUUCCGCGUGUAGCAGUGAAAUGCGUAGAGAUGUGGAGGAACACCGAUGGCGAAGGCAGCCCCCUGGGCCAAUACUGACGCUCAUGCACGAAAGCGUGGGUAGCAAACAGGAUUAGAUACCCCCGUAGUCCCUGUCUCUUAUAC